GUCCUCACUUGGGUAGCACAUAUACUCACAUUGGAAUGAUACAGAGAAGAUUAGCAUGGCCCCUGCCCAAGGAUGACAUGCAAAUCUGAAAAGCGUUCCAUAGUUUU